rnacentral:lncRNA from 1 species
AGAGCUCGGAUAUGGCUCGAGGUACGAGAGAUCUACGCACCUUCGCAGCAAAGAACUCCUCACCGACUGGAAGCUGUGAGCCAGGCGAUUGCGGUGGUGCCUCACACCAAUCUCUCGCGGAUCGUCCAGCUCGCGACAUAUCAGCAUUCCCACCUCACCAGCUCGGUCCGCCAUCUCCGCCAAGAGCAGCAGUUCAUUGUCGAGGUUGAUCGCCCAAGAGCAGUAGCUGGAUCAUCGUGUCGCGCAGCCGAUCGCCCAAGAGCUCCUGAAAGACGAGAUCUUUCCACUGGGAGAAGAGUCCAUUGCCAUUGCCAUCGCUGGAAGGAUCGAGCUUGAGGUAGAGCCUGGAGCACGGCACAGCGAUGAUAGCGCACGCGAGGGAGUGGUAGUGUGGCGGCGGCGACGGUGGCCGCGAUUGAUCGAGUGGCACCGCCGAGGGAGAAAACGAUCGAUCGAGGAGUGCCAGGGAUUAGGAGAUCUAGGAGCCGCGGAUGCGGCGGAAGAGGAGGAAGGCCUUCGAGAGAUGGAAUGUGAGAUGCGUCUUGAUCUCCGCCACCGCGGAUGCCAGCGCCAUGGUGAUGGGCUUGAAGAGUGCACGAUCGUCCAGGCGGAGGAGGGAGUAGAGCUCGCGCUGGAAACCUGGAAGUGAUCGAAGAGGGAUUGUGACGAGCUGCUCGGCUUCCUCGUCCCGGGGGUUCUCCUCGGCGAUUGUGAUGCUGUAGCCCAGCUCCAUGGGCUGCCAGAUGUCCUCUUCCGCUCCUACAAUGAUGCCAGAAAUCUUCAUUUCCAAGGGUCAACUAAACAGUUAAAAAGCAACGAACAUUCUAACUAAUAAGCUAUACUUUAAUAUUUUAAUAUAAAUUAAAAUAAAUUGCUG